AAAGAACCAAUCCAGCAGAAAGGAAUUAAGAAGCAGCAUUGACUUGUCUUGCGUUAGCAGUGGGGCAAGUAUUUCUAGUAGUAGCAGUAGCCAACAUGGUAGCAAAAGGCUAGUGGUUCCACCCCAACUGUAGAUGUAGAGCUAAAUUAAGCAAUACUAGUUUUAAGGAUGAUCAGAACCAUUCACCUAAACAAUCUCCAUGGUAUG
rnacentral:misc_RNA from 1 species